rnacentral:lncRNA from 12 species
CUCAUUAUGAAGACACCAUAACUCUGCCAUUUCCAAACACUCAUUAAUGACCCUUCCUAGGACUUUCCACUGGGAACCCCCUGGGAAGAGCAGGCAACACGAUCCCUCGGCCUGCCAGGUGGUGAGUGGUGUGUGCACAGCUCUCCGCCCUGCUUCAGGAAGAGCUGACUGCAGGUGUAGACAUAGGCCAAGCCUGGGGCCUUGGAGGGCCUCAUCCACCCACAGAGCCCACGCCCUUCCUUUCUCCAUCCUACUGUGGUACAAACACCACCAUCCAGGAGAACAUAGGACAAGAAGAGACAGCACGGCUCAGCCCAGUGAAGGAGAAAUCCCAAAUGAGGGGGGCGCUCGGUGGUGGACCAUCCUUGGAAACCUAAAGAAGCAUAUCCUCACUUCCACGUCUCAGGGACCAGGGCUUAUUCCUUUGUAUACACUGAAGCACUCAUAGAAGAUCAACCAAAUGUGGGAUCAUGACCCAGUGGAUGAACAAGCCUUCAGAGCAAAGCCUUAUUUGCCAUAACCUGACACCAAAACCCCCUAAAAGCUGACAGUGUGACUAGUGGAAGACAGUUGCCAGAUUUCACUGGAUGGAGAAGAGACAUCCACAAUGUGAACAUGAAGAGAGCUCAGAGGAGCCCGGAAAAUGGCUGAGUCUCUGGACUGAGGCCUGUGGAUAAAGAGAGGAGAGUGCUCCCUGCCAUGGUGGAAGGAGCAUGCAGCGCAGAGGAAGAGGCAGAGAGGGCAUUUCCACGGGUGACGGGAAAGCCAUAAAACAUGACCUGUCA